rnacentral:rRNA from 1 species
UACGGAGGGUGCAAGCGUUAAUCGGAAUUACUGGGCGUAAAGCGUGCGUAGGCGGCCUUUUAAGUCAGAUGUGAAAGCCCCGGGCUUAACCUGGGAACUGCAUUUGAUACUGGGAGGCUAGAGUUUAAUAGAGGGGAGUGGAAUUUCAGGUGUAGCGGUGAAAUGCGUAGAGAUCUGAAGGAACACCAGUGGCGAAGGCGACUCCCUGGAUUAAAACUGACGCUGAGGUACGAAAGCGUGGGUAGCAAACAGG